CUUCCGCUAAACCAGCUUCUCCUCUGUCGUACUUUCUCCAGUGGAGUCACCCCUACACGCCACUUGGUCUCUGGUGUUUCUUAUAUCCAGUUUAUAUGGCCGAGAUUCGUUCAUCAACCCGCCACGCGCGUGUUUGAAUCCUAUUCUCGGCCGCAGAGGAUCUAAACCUCUUCCUUUGAUCGCCGCCGCAAAGAAGAAGAAGAGCAAGAAAGAUGACAACCAUAGCUUCUCCGCUAGACUUGACGAAGCCACCGGUCCAUUUCCUGAAUCCAUCCUUCUCAAAGAGAAGAAGAUUGAUGAGGAAAUUGAUCUUCUUCCUGAUAUCGAUGAUGCUGAAGAAAGAGCUAUACGAGUUUCUUGAUCUUCAGCUUCAUAGUGACUUGAAUGAGGAAAUGA